ensembl:lncRNA
AGAGAAAUGAAAGACAGAAAAAAGAAAGAAGCUGUUCUUUCCUUUGCAUAGAAAAAAUAAUACCAAAAAAACUCCAAGAAAGUUUCAAGAAACAUUUCUGGCAAUAUUAAGGGAAUAUACUGAAUUCUUUCCCACACUUAGUGAUUAUUGUGGAGAUUUUUUCAGCCCAGCAGACAGUUUGCUUAAGGAAGAAUUUUUUAGUGAAGCGGCAGGGUCAGGCAGAAUCUUUCAAUAUGCAUGGAUUCAGGAGAAGAAAAUCACUCAUUCAAGUCAUUUGCAAGUAAAAGUUUCUUACCAGAUUGAACGCUUUCUUGCUGAAUAAAUUCAGUUCUUCUCUUUAGAAACGUCGCAGUUGGUUUCCUUCAUCCCAGAUGACUGCCCAAACAGCUCAGGAUCACAGAGCUACCCUGAGGGCAGUUUCUGGAUUGUCACCAGAACACAGGAAAAAAUACAGAAGGAGAUUAGAGCCAGCCACUAGAAAGGAACAGACUCUACCAAGUAAAUUGCAAAGCCGUAGGAAGAGCUCCUAUUACUCAGGGUUGAAACUCUCCUAACAUCCAGAGAAGAGGGCUGAGCGAUGUGAAUAUGUCAGCAUGUCCUUAUUUAGGGACUGCUCUCUUGGACAAGCUGCCAAACGAGGGGAAAGCAAUUGGACCAUGAGAAAAGUAGGUAACAAUGUGUAGUGCUUUGGCUCAGAAGUCACAUGUAUGGAAAGGCCAUAAACAUGCACUAGUCACAGAAAACACUGCACACCUCGUGCCUGAGUAGCCCCUGCCACGGGCACUGAGAAAUCGCAGCAUCCCAGCUUCAAAGGAUUUACUAAAUCCAGUUCUGGGGCUGCUCACUGCUCUCACAAAUGCCAGCUCUCUGGGCUGUGGAUGGAGGCACCAAGAGGCAAAGCAAGAUGUGUUCCCGUGAAAGUGCCCUACCAGAGACUCUGCUGAGGAUGCUCUUCCUGACAGGCCACACUCAUUCCCCUUGUUCCCAAAAUUUCAUGCAGAGGUGGCACAUUCUGCUGCGUAUCUAAGGAAGCUCAACUUUUUAAAGACUUAAUUCCACACAGUUUUCUUUAAAAUUCCCAUCAUCUUUGAGGACUCAGUGGACUGCAACAGAAAGUUUACUCUCCUAUAGUCUUCAGAGAUACAGAAGCUAUAUGACCUUUUGUAUGGGCCCUAAACACUAUCUCAGCGUGUGCAGCAACACAAACUUAAUGGAAUAUAUGGCCACAUGAGAAUAGACUCCAGCAGCACCAUUGCACUGAAAUUAAGAGUCCAGAUUCUUAUCACAACACUCCUUUCUGAAUUUCACCACUGAAACUGAUUUAAAAACCUUGUUAUCAAAACACUCUCCUCCACAAGAAUUUUACAGCAUUGCAGCUAAAGCCUGUGACAGAACAUUCUGCCUUUGCACCUUUGGGGCCUGCUGUCUGCAACAACUGAAGUCAGCACCUGAAGUCAGAGACUGCUCUGUAUAUCCAGAACAUGGUUCGCAAUUAUUCUCUGAAAAUAAGCAAUUUGCUCACACCUCCAGACACUUGUGGAUAAAUAAGGACUACAGGCCUUAUCUGCUGAUUGUUUUGAACUAUUUCAUAAAGUAGAGGUUUGAUGGUUUGGAACAAAUGAAGAAAACUGGCUCCUCAUUUUUAUAAAGUUUUUUUUUCAUUGGAAAUUGAGAAUUUAUCAAACUGCUACUGAAGUUGAAUCCUACCGAAAUUAUGGAACUGGGACUGACAUCUGCAAAAGUGGGUUUAGUUUUACUGCAUUCAAUUAACUAAAAUAUAUAACUCACACACCUAUAAAACAGGCCACUCAGCUGGAAAAUAAAUGUAUCUUCAGCUUGUGAUAUUUUAGUAUGUACAGAUUUUCUUAAAUCAUUAUUUGUUGUCAUAGUCAGAACUGCUAAACAGCAUAAUCCACCAACUCAAUCUGUAAGGACAAAACAAGCAGUUGUCUUUCAGCACUCCAUCAACAUUCCCUCUACCAGAUGCCUUCUCAAUCUUCUCUUCAUCAUCCAAACUCAGCUGCAAUAUUUCUCCUGAAUACCAUUUUUCCAAAUAAAUCCCAACAAUAUAGUGUACAAGGUAUAGAUUUUCAGUUAGUUGAGAGCUCUGUGGCUGUUGAGAAAUAGAUGUGUGCACUGAAGUCAGGUACAGGAGUUCCAGGGGAUUCCUGGGGGGAUGCAGCUUUGGAAAGUUGGGUCACAUCUUCCACUGCAGGAUUUACAUCAGUGGGGUCACUGAGGGCUUAAAGGAAACCUGCACAGUCAUUUAUAAAUUAAAACGUUAAUGUCAGGUGGAUUAAGAUUACACCACUGAGUUAAAUGCUGAUUUCCUUGAUUAUUUUCCUAGAGCCUAGUUUUAAGCAACAAAUUCAUGGAAUGUGACAUCAGGUGGAAGGUUCAUAAUUUAUAUAAAUUGUGAACAAGACUGAUGAUGCAAACAUCAAGCAAGUAAAGACAGUGCUAGGAAAGAAAAUAAGAUUUCAGACUGGGCACAAUGUUGUACACAUUCUUGGAUCCUGCAUGGCACCACACACAACAGUACAUGAAUUUAUAAAUAAAAUUAAAUGCUUGAAACCAAUUUGAUGCAGCCACUCAAUCAUAAAGAGAAUUAUUUAGAUCUAUUCACUGCUGCUGAAUAAUAUACUUUCCAUAAAUUUUUAUGUGUAGUCAGUAUCUCACUGUCUGUAAAGCUGCAUUGUUUUCAACUCCUUAGAACUAGUAUAAUUUAAUAAAUUAAAUACCUA